rnacentral:misc_RNA from 1 species
UCUCCGUUAAUAAACUAACGGAGGGAUCAUUACCAAGUCUCCGACUCUAAACCAUCGCGAACAUACCACGUCGUUACCUCGGCGGGCGGCUCUAGAGCGGAGCCUAUAGCUUUUGUUAAGGGGGUGCCCGCUAAGAGGCCCGCCAAACCGUAUCGUAUCUUAUUACUAUAAGCACCCGCGAGAGCGGAAAGUUA